GACGAACGCUGGCGGCGUGCCUAAUACAUGCAAGUUGAGCGCUGAAGGUUGGUACUUGUACCAACUGGAUGAGCAGCGAACGGGUGAGUAACGCGUGGGGAAUCUGCCUUUGAGCGGGGGACAACAUUUGGAAACGAAUGCUAAUACCGCAUAAAAACUUUAAACACAAGUUUUAAGUUUGAAAGAUGCAAUUGCAUCACUCAAAGAUGAUCCCGCGUUGUAUUAGCUAGUUGGUGAGGUAAAGGCUCACCAAGGCGAUGAUACAUAGCCGACCUGAGAGGGUGAUCGGCCACAUUGGGACUGAGACACGGCCCAAACUCCUACGGGAGGCAGCAGUAGGGAGUCUUCGGCAAUGGACGAAAGUCUGACCGAGCAACGCCGCGUGAGUGAAGAAGGGUUUCGGAUCGUAAAACUCUGUUGGUAGAGAAGAACGUUGGUGAGAGUGGAAAGCUCAUCAAGUGACGGUAACUACCCAGAAAGGGACGGCUAACUACGUG
rnacentral:rRNA from 1 species